ACAAGCGGCGGAGCAUGCGGAUUAAUUCGAUGCAACGCGAAGAACCUUACUACCCUUGACAUGUCCGGAACUUGCCAGAGAUGGCUUGGUGCCCGAAAGGGAAUCGGAACACAGGUGCUGCAUGGCUGUCGUCAGCUCGUGUCGUGAGAUGUUGGGUUAAGUCCCGCAACGAGCGCAACCCUUAUCAUUAGUUGCUACGCAAGGGCACUCUAAUGAGACUGCCGGUGACAAACCGGAGGAAGGUGGGGAUGACGUCAAGUCCUCAUGGCCCUUAUGGGUAGGGCUUCACACGUCAUACAAUGGUCGGUACAGAGGGUUGCCAAGCCGCGAGGCGGAGCCAAUCCCACAAAGCCGAUCGUAGUCCGGAUUGUUCUCUGCAACUCGAGAGCAUGAAGUCGGAAUCGCUAGUAAUCGCAGGUCAGCAUACUGCGGUGAAUACGUUCCCGGGUCUU
rnacentral:rRNA from 1 species